rnacentral:rRNA from 1 species
CGACGGGUGAGUAACGCGUGGGGAACCUGCCCUGUACAGGGGGAUAACACUUAGAAAUAGGUGCUAAUACCGCAUAAGCGCACAGUAUCGCAUGAUACAGUGUGAAAAACUCCGGUGGUACAGGAUGGACCCGCGUCUGAUUAGCUGGUUGGCGGGGUAACGGCCCACCAAGGCGACGAUCAGUAGCCGGCCUGAGAGGGUGAACGGCCACAUUGGGACUGAGACACGGCCCAAACUCCUACGGAAGGCAGCAG